UACGGAGGGGGCUAGCGUUGUUCGGAAUUACUGGGCGUAAAGCGCGCGUAGGCGGCUUAGCAAGUCAGAGGUGAAAGCCCGGGGCUCAACCCCGGAACUGCCUUUGAAACUAGAUUGCUAGAAUCCUGGAGAGGUGAGUGGAAUUCCGAGUGUAGAGGUGAAAUUCGUAGAUAUUCGGAAGAACACCAGUGGCGAAGGCGACUCACUGGACAGGUAUUGACGCUGAGGUGCGAAAGCGUGGGGAGCAAACAGG
rnacentral:rRNA from 1 species